rnacentral:ncRNA from 1 species
CAUCGCGAGGUGGAAUCUGAAGGAAGAUGGAAGCAAAACUCCGGUCUGACGAAUAGAAAUCACAUAUAGGCUAUGAAUGAGGGUAAGACUGCACAACAAGCCGAAGCCCAAUAACUGCACGGAAUCACGGGGGAUAAAUGUGGCAGAUGGAUGGAGAGAAAGAAAC